AGGGAGAUUUUUUUCCCCCAUGGGUUUCUUCUUGGCCCGUGGGAUUUAUUCUAAGCUGGCUUUCUCUGAGUGUGAGUUGUCUUGGCCUUUGGUUUUCUUUCCUUUUGGAAGCCUCGGAUCUUUCCAUUGUGUACCAUGUCCCUGUUAGGAGGCUGAGUCACUCUGCCUUGCACUCUGCAGCCUCGACAUUCCCCUCUGAAUGAAGGUAAGCUGGUGGAUGUCUGGUGGCUCAGUAGGGGAAAGGGCACCUUAUCGCCCUGUCCCAGCCCCAUGCACCCCCUUGGGAAUACUGUGGAGGGACAUAGCUUUCAGAUGAGAUGGUGUCUGUAAAAGGCUGGCAGAGGCUGCUUAGGCCAGAUGACCUUUAAAGAUCUUUUCCAGUUCUGAAAUUCUAAGAUCCGAAAAUGGUGCGUGGACCCCAAACAAUGGCACUUGAAGAAGAACAGACAGAACGGAAGCUGUGCAUGACUCAGAGGAGACACCAGAGCUGCCUUUAUGAUCCUUGCAGUACAGAAAGGAGGACGAGAGAUUCGUCUUAGCAUAUGUGGCCUCGGAAGGUUGAAAUUGUGGCUGGAAUUUUAUCACAGGAUGGGAGUGUACAUUUCAGUACAUGCACCACAGAGUAUGAAAAGCACGAAGAGGAAAGCUUUCAAACACUUCCCAUGAUUCUGCUGGGCGGCUGUAUUCACGGCUGAAAAUUUGAUGAAUACCUUUCUAGUCUUUUUUCCACGCAGGUCAGAGAAAGUCUUGCAGUUGCGGCCUGGGUCUCUGGGAACACUCACUCUGAGCAAGGUCUCGACAUGCAAGAAGUCCAGUUGUCCUGAGAUCAUCAUGCUAUGAGGACUCCUGUACUAGUCACCUGGAGAGGACUGCCUAGCCAGGCACCAUGUCUUUCAGCCAGCCCCGUUGAGGCACCAAGCAGGGGGGAUAAAGAAGCCAUCUUGGACACCCAGCCCAGACAAUUCUUCAGAUGACCCAAGUGCUGGCUUCCACCCGACUCUAACCAGACCCCGAGGAAGAACCACACAGCAGCUGAACCCAGUCAACCCAUAGACCAUGCUAGUUUUGAAGAAUGAAACAAAUAGGACACAACCCUUCUCACCUUCAGGGAGCCCCGAUCUGCUGUGAGGAUGCAGGCAUGAGGCAGUGAGCUGAUGGGAUCCAACCCAGGAAGAAUGAGCCUCACAGUGGACUGGUCGUUCUGCCAGGAGAUGAGGGGCUUCUGCCUAUAGAGGGCGCAGGGUGAAGAUUGAGAAUAAACCAGUAAGAAAGUAAACUGGCGUUGUUGGAGACGGUGAGAAGCAGUGUGAAAACGAAGAAACAAGUAGAAUGAAAGCAUCAAGCCGUGCUGGUGUGUGCCUGAGGUCAGGCAAGGACUUGCCAUGGAAGGCACGCGUAUUGUGACACCUGGGUGACAAGGUGGCACCAGGUGUGUAAGACUUUCGGGGCAGAGUCUGUGGGGCUCUGCUGGGUGCUGCAGAAGGGGCCCAGUCAGAGAGGAGGCUACUGCCACAGUCCCGGGGAGGGACAGCCACGCUCCAAGCAAAGGCUGCCACAGAGGGGGCUGAGGGGCGAGCAUGAAGCCCCAAGGCGUGUAGGCAGCAGAAUGUGCAGA